rnacentral:lncRNA from 1 species
CCCAACUCAGAGAAGUUGCUGCCCCUUUUUGUAGGAAGCUCUGUCCUCAGAGAAACAGCCCACCUGGGAACAAAGUCAGCAUGGAGUAAACUGAUCUGGAAGAUACUAAGAGCUGGAGAGGCAGAGAUCUGAUAACAUCAGGUGCUGGAUCCAGCCAUUCCUGAAGCUAACUCUCUGGAUAUUACUGCUAUGUGAGCCCAUGAAUCUGGUUGGAGAGGAGCAUGAAAGGUUUACUGGAAGAGUUGACGUUUACCGUAGCCUUGCCGGAGGAUGACCCGGUCAGGAUGGACUGUGCUGGGCUGCAAUGACAACCCCCUUCUGGAUCCUAUUGAUGAGUGACAACUCCAGAGAAGGGAAUGUGGGAGGGCUUUCUAGAAGGAGAAGACAGCUUGGCCAAAGGUUCAGAGGUGCCGACGUGAGGGUCUGCUCGAGAGGAAGUGGUGAGUAACCCAGUGGUCGAAGGAGGGAGAAAAAUGCCUGGACAUGCUAGCGGACAUCUCUGUUGCCACACUGGGGAGGGGUGGUGAACUUGGCAGGCAGUAAGAGCAAUAAAAGGUUUAAUUAGGCAGGACCUAUGAUUUAG